rnacentral:piRNA from 1 species
AAUUGUUUUUGCUGGGUUCUUUUCAAAA